rnacentral:rRNA from 1 species
UACGUAGGGGGCAAGCGUUGUCCGGAUUUAUUGGGCGUAAAGAGCGUGUAGGCGGCUUCACAGGUCCGCUGUGAAAACUCGAGGCUCAACCUCGAGCUGUCGGUGGAAACCGUGUGGCUAGAGUCCGGAAGAGGAGAGUGGAAUUCCCGGUGUAGCGGUGAAAUGCGCAGAUAUCGGGAGGAACACCAAUUGCGAAGGCAGCUCGCUGGGACGUUACUGACGCUGAGACGCGAAAGCGUGGGGAGCAAACAGG